rnacentral:misc_RNA from 1 species
UAUUAAUUUAAUAAUUGAGCAUUCAUAACUUUAUAACAGGGUGUAUUGAAAAAACAUAGACCAAAUCAAUGGCCUACAAAAGUGCACAGGGUGUAAAAUUUGGAAUAGAAGUGUGCACAUGUCUUAUGAAGACCAGCUACAACCUCUUCAAAAUUCAAUAAUGAUCCUUCCGCAGGUUCACCUACGGAAA